GAUGAACGCUGGCGGCGUGCCUAAUACAUGCAAGUCGAGCGAACAGACGAGGAGCUUGCUCCUCUGACGUUAGCGGCGGACGGGUGAGUAACACGUGGAUAACCUACCUAUAAGACUGGGAUAACUUCGGGAAACCGGAGCUAAUACCGGAUAAUAUAUUUAACCGCAUGGUUCAAUAGUGAAAGACGGUUUUGCUGUCACUUAUAGAUGGAUCCCGUCCGAUUUAGCUAGUGGGUAAGGUAACGGCUUACAAGGGGGACGAUGCGUAGCCGACGUGAGAGGGUGAUCGGCCACACUGGAACUGAACAACGGUCAAGACUCCUACGGGAGGCAGCAGUAGGGAAUCUUCGGCAAUGGGCGAAAGCCUGACGGAGCAACGCCGCGUGAGUGAUGAAGGUCUUCGGAUCGUAAAACUCUGUUAUUAGGGAAGAACAAAUGUGUAAGUAACUAUGCACGUCUUGACGGUACCUAAUCAGAAAGCCACGGCUAACUACGUG
rnacentral:rRNA from 1 species